rnacentral:rRNA from 1 species
AUACGGAAGGUCCAGGCGUUAUCCGGAUUUAUUGGGUUUAAAGGGAGCGUAGGCCGUCUGUUAAGCGUGUUGUGAAAUGUAGAUGCUCAACAUCUGAAUUGCAGCGCGAACUGGCAGACUUGAGUGUGCGCAACGUAGGCGGAAUUCGUGGUGUAGCGGUGAAAUGCUCAGAUAUCAUGAAGAACUCCGAUCGCGAAGGCAGAUGCCCGGAGCGCAACUGACGCUGAGGCUCGAAAGUGCGGGUAUC